rnacentral:rRNA from 1 species
GGGGGGGCUAAAACUGCAGUCGAGCGAGCUUGCCUAGAUGAUUUUAGUGCUUGCACUAAAUGAAACUAGAUACAAGCGAGCGGCGGACGGGUGAGUAACACGUGGGUAACCUGCCCAAGAGACUGGGAUAACACCUGGAAACAGAUGCUAAUACCGGAUAACAACACUAGACGCAUGUCUAGAGUUUGAAAGAUGGUUCUGCUAUCACUCUUGGAUGGACCUGCGGUGCAUUAGCUAGUUGGUAAGGUAACGGCUUACCAAGGCAAUGAUGCAUAGCCGAGUUGAGAGACUGAUCGGCCACAUUGGGACUGAGACACGGCCCAAACUCCUACGGGAGGCAGCAGUAGGGAAUCUUCCACAAUGGACGAAAGUCUGAUGGAGCAACGCCGCGUGAGUGAAGAAGGGUUUCGGCUCGUAAAGCUCUGUUGGUAGUGAAGAAAGAUAGAGGUAGUAACUGGCCUUUAUUUGACGGUAAUUACUUAGAAAGUCACGGCUAACUACGUGCCAGCAGCCGCGGUAAUACGUAGGUGGCAAGCGUUGUCCGGAUUUAUUGGGCGUAAAGCGAGUGCAGGCGGUUCAAUAAGUCUGAUGUGAAAGCCUUCGGCUCAACCGGAGAAUUGCAUCAGAAACUGUUGAACUUGAGUGCAGAAGAGGAGAGUGGAACUCCAUGUGUAGCGGUGGAAUGCGUANAUAUAUGGAAGAACACCAGUGGCGAAGGCGGCUCUCUGGUCUGCAACUGACGCUGAGGCU